UCACCCACCAUCACCAUAAUAACUAUCUGCAACUUCAUCUUCUUUCUCUAUAAACACCACCCACCAUCACCACAAUAAUCCACCACCACACACCACCUCCGUCGUCACCAUCAGAGCCGCCGCCACCAUCCCACUGCCGAAAACACCACCAACAUUAAAACCCCAACACCACCAUCCCACUGCCGCCACCUCCGAACACCCAACCAUCCUCUCGCCGCCACUCCACCGUGAAGAUUUGUAGCUUAAACCUACACCACCGCCGCCUUACUACUGCAGAUUUGAAGCUUAAACCUACCCCACCAUCCCCUCGCUGGCCACCGUCUGCGGCGGCAGCUUCUUCAACUCAUAUAACAGUAAAUGAAGCACUUGAUCUGCUCUUUGAUGAGCUUUAGACAGUAUCGCGAUGAUUUGGGAAUUUGGGGACAUAAGUAGCAGGUUACAUGUUUAUGUGGUGUAGUGGCGGGGAUGGCGGUGGUGCGGUGGCGGGGAUGGUGAUGCAGUUGUAGGUCACUAAAUCUUUAUAUGGGGCUAUGUUGAAUAGAAGUUCGGAGUGAUCAAGGUUGUUGGACUUAAUAGGGGCGGAGAUUAUGGCGUUCCAAGUGAAGACGUUUCGGUCAGGCCUUUCGUCGAACAGCUUGCAGGCGUCUUUGAUGAGGCCAUGUUUGGAGUAUAAGUGUAUGAGCUGGUUGUAUGCGAAUAUUGUUGGGUUAUUGCCGGAUUUUAUGGCGUAACAGUGAGAUUUGAGACUGUUGAUUAUUCUUAUUAUGGGUUUGUUGAUCCAUUUGGUGAAGAUGAUGUUAUGAUUUUUAAAUAAUAAUAAUAAUAAUAAUAAUAAUAAUAAUAAUAAUAAUAAUAAUAAUAAUAAUUUUGUUGAUCCAUUUGGUGAAGAUGAUGUUAUGAUUUUUAAAUAAUAAUAAUAAUAAUAAUAAUAAUAAUAAUAAUAAUAAUAAUAAUAAUAAUAAUAAUAAUAAUAAUAAUAAUAUAUUCUUUUUCUUUUUGAGUCCCUGUGUUUUAUGUGUUAAUAGGGGUAAUUUGGUCAUUUAACAAAACUUAACAACAAAAUUCUAACUGGGUUAGAAAUUUGGACUCAAAUGGUUAAAGAAAAUGCUUAUAGGGACUCAGGUCGUUAAACUUUUUGCUUUUGGACUCAACUAGUUAAAACCCAUAAAACACAGGGACUCAAAAAGUAAUUUACCCAUA
rnacentral:lncRNA from 1 species